UGGCGGCGUGCUUAACACAUGCAAGUCGAACGGUACCAACUGAGUAGUAAUACGAGGUUGGUAUAGUGGCGGACGGGUGAGUAACGCGUGAGCAAUCUGCCUUUAAGAGGGGGAUAACACCGGGAAACCGGUGCUAAUACCGCAUAAGACCACAGUGCUGCAUAGCACAGGGGUAAAAGGAGCAAUCCGCUUAAAGAUGAGCUCGCGUCCCAUUAGCUAGUUGGCGGGGUGAAGGCCCACCAAGGCGAUGACGGGUAGCCGACCUGAGAGGGUGGCCGGCCACACUGGAACUGAGAUACGGUCCAGACUCCUACGGGAGGCAGCAGUGGGGAAUAUUGGGCAAUGGGCGGAAGCCUGACCCAGCGACGCCGCGUGGGGGAAGAAGUCUUUCGGGAUGUAAACCCUUGUUGUACGGGACGAAGGAAGUGACGGUACCGUACGAGGAAGCCCCGGCAAACUACGUGCCAGCAGCCGCGGUAAUACGUAGGGGGCGAGCGUUGUCCGGAAUCACUGGGCGUAAAGCGCACGUAGGCGGGCUGUCAAGUCGG
rnacentral:rRNA from 1 species